rnacentral:rRNA from 1 species
AACGAACGCUGGCGGCAUGCCUAACACAUGCAAGUCGAACGAGACCUUCGGGUCUAGUGGCGCACGGGUGCGUAACGCGUGGGAACCUGCCCUUAGGUUCGGAAUAACUCCCCGAAAGGGGUGCUAAUACCGGAUAAUGUCUUCGGACCAAAGAUUUAUCGCCUUUGGAUGGGCCCGCGUUGGAUUAGCUAGUUGUUAGGGUAAAAGCCUACCAAGGCGACGAUCCAUAGCUGGUCUGAGAGGAUGAUCAGCCACACUGGGACUGAGACACGGCCCAGACUCCUACGGGAGGCAGCAGUGGGGAAUAUUGGACAAUGGGCGAAAGCCUGAUCCAGCAAGGCCGCGUGAGUGAUGAAGGCCUUAGGGUUGUAAAGCUCUUUUACCCGGGAUGAUAAUGACAGUACCGGGAGAAUAAGCUCCGGCUAACUCCGUG